rnacentral:lncRNA from 1 species
UUCUUGCCUUUUAAUUGAUCCGACCCAGAAUCCAUUUAGCCAGUCUGAGUUUUCAGUUUACUCUUUCCGAGCUGUACCAACCGACCUGCGAGCUCGCUUUCGGUUUACUUUAUCCAAGCGAGACUAACCGACCUGCGAGCUCUGCUUUUAAUCAAAGGGUUGAGCUUCUGACCCAUAACUUUCAAUUUACUUUUUUCGAGCUGGACUAACCGACCAGUGAGCUUUGCUUUUAAUCAAUGGGUUGAGCUUCUGACCCAUAACUUUGUAGGAUUCCGAGGCGUCUUCAUCGCUUCGUUCUGGGCUCCUGGCCUUUGCUUAAUAAUGAUCCUUCUUAGGUGAUAGGC